rnacentral:rRNA from 1 species
UACAGAGGAUGCAAGCGUUAUCCGGAAUGAUUGGGCGUAACGCGUCUGUAGGUGGCUUUUUAAGUCCGCCGUCAAAUCCCAGGGCUCAACCCUGGACCUGCAUUCGAUACGGGCAGACUAGAGUUCGGUAGGGGGAGACUGGAAUUCCUGGUGUAGCGGUGAAAUGCGCAGAUAUCAGGAGGAACACCGGUGGCGAAGGCGGGUCUCUGGGCCGAAACUGACGCUGAGGAGCGAAAGCGUGGGGAGCAAACAGG